rnacentral:tRNA from 1 species
GGGGAUAUAGCUCAGUGGUAGAAUAUAUGCUUAGCAUGCACAAGUCCUGGGAUCAAUUCCCAGUAUCUCCA